rnacentral:rRNA from 1 species
GACGAACGCUGGCGGCGUGCUUAACACAUGCAAGUCGAACGGAAAGGCCCUGCUUUUGUUGGGUUCUCGAGUGGCUAACGGGUGAGUAACACGUGAGUAACCUGCCCUUGACUUUGGGAUAACUUCAGGAAACUGGGGCUAAUACCGGAUAUGAUCUCCUGCUGCAUGUUGUGUGUUGGAAAGUUUCGGCGGUUGGGGAUGUACUCGCUGCUUAUCAGCUUUUUGGUGGGGUAGUUGCUUACCAAGGCUUUGACGGGUAGCCGGCCUGAGAGGGUGAACGGCGAAAUUGGGACUGAGAGACGGACCAGAGUGCAACGGGAGGCAGGAGUGGGGAAUAUUGCAAAAUGGGAGGAAGGAUGAUGAAGAAACGCAGCGUGCGGGAAGAAGGGCUUGGGGUUGUAAACAGAAUUAGAAUGUGAAGAAGAGUGAGUGACGGUAAUGGGUAAAGAAGCAACGGCUAACUACGUG